UACGGAGGAUGCGAGCGUUAUCCGGAUUCAUUGGGUUUAAAGGGUGCGUAGGCGGGAAAAUAAGUCAGUGGUGAAAGCCUGCAGCUUAACUGCAGAACUGCCAUUGAUACUGAUAGUCUUGAGUUUGGUUAAGGUAGGCGGAAUGUGUAAUGUAGCGGUGAAAUGCUUAGAUAUUACACAGAACACCAAUUGCAUAGGCAGCUUACUGAGCCGACACUGACGCUGAGGCACGAAAGCGUGGGGAUCAAACA
rnacentral:rRNA from 1 species